CCCGAUGCUAGUGGCGCACGGGUGAGUAACACGUGGGAAUCUACCCAAUAGUACGGAAUAACUGAGGGAAACUUUGGCUAAUACCGUAUACGCCCUUCGGGGGAAAGAUUUAUCGCUAUUGGAUGAGCCCGCGUCUGAUUAGGUAGUUGGUGAGGUAACGGCUCACCAAGCCGACGAUCAGUAGCUGGUCUGAGAGGAUGAUCAGCCACACUGGGACUGAGACACGGCCCAGACUCCUACGGGAGGCAGCAGUGGGGAAUAUUGGACAAUGGGCGCAAGCCUGAUCCAGCCAUGCCGCGUGAGUGAAGAAGGCCUUCGGG
rnacentral:rRNA from 1 species